GGAGAAUGGAGGCUAAAUAGGUAAACUUCUGUGUGACUAGAUUGGUUUUGGUACUUCAGGUUUAUAAUAGUAAAACAGUCCCUUGAAAAUGAAUAUUUAAACUAUAAGUUGAUAUACCCCUCCACAGCCCCAAGAAAAACACUUCUAUUUUUUUUUUAAUUUAAGGUUAAAACAGCUUCCCAAAUUUGUCCACCUGCUGUCUGCAGCCUUUACAAGUCCUCCUCUCUUUCCCUGACACAGACACAGUGAGUGAGUGGAAUAGUUAUCAGAGGCUUCUCAUUGAGAAGGUGAGCAGCUUUCCUAUGUUUCCAAGAAGGGGAG